rnacentral:rRNA from 1 species
UACGGAGGGUCCAAGCGUUAUCCGGAAUCAUUGGGUUUAAAGGGUCCGUAGGCGGGUUUAUAAGUCAGUGGUGAAAGCCCAUCGCUCAACGAUGGAACGGCCAUUGAUACUGUAGAUCUUGAAUUAUUAGGAAGUAACUAGAAUAUGUAGUGUAGCGGUGAAAUGCUUAGAGAUUACAAUGGAAUACCAAUUGCGAAGGCAGGUUACUACUAAUGGAUUGACGCUGAUGGACGAAAGCGUGGGUAGCGAACAGG